rnacentral:lncRNA from 1 species
CAGAGAGGCAGGCGGGCAGGAGCUGCAGGGGCGGUGGGUGCCAGGCUGGACAAAGGCCCAGGAGGCUGGGGAGCAGGGGGCAUGGCUCGCUGCGGGCCCCUGGGGACAUCUGAUCCAGGCUGGGGCUGUGUCUGCAUCUGGGUGACCUCAGGGCCAAGUGGCUGUCCGUGAGAAUUCCCAGGGGCCGCCUCACCCAGGAAGUUACGCAUCCCCACAGUGGGACAGCCAGUGGUCAGCGACUGACCGACAAAGGAUACAAAAGAUCAGCUGCCAUGGCAAUUGUUCCAGGCUGAUGAUACUGUUCUGCAUCUUGACAGAAGAGCAUUUUGAAGCCCGAUGCCUCCAUAGGGACAUUUGGAGACAGAAAAGCAGGAGUGGAAGAGAAAGCCGAGCGCAGCGGAGGGAUGCUACAUAAAGGCAACGGUGACCAUGGACAGAGGGCUCCCUCCCGUGCCAGGCACGAUCUGUCACCCGGAGCUUCUCACCUAGUUUUGCAAUAACCACAUGGGGUGUGGUGUCACGUCCACUUCACAGCUUUUAAAAUAGAGCGGGGAGAAAGCAAACCAGUGGAGGACAACGACGUUGAGAACGGCCUGCGGAUGGCGGCUGGGCAGCGCCGGGUCUGAAGGUCAGGCUUCCCAACUUGAACAAGCUAAGAAGCCAGUGGGGUCACAUCUGCUCCUUUGUGGCCCAUAUUAUUAAAGCAGGACGAGAUGGGAUGACCACACCAGAAUCGCUGAGAGAGGAGACGUGGCAGCAGGUCAGGUUCUCUGAGCGGCUCUCCAAGGAGGUACCACCGUCUCCUCAGUUCAUCUGUGCUCUCCGGCAAGUCCAAAGUCACCCUCAGAACACCGAGGCUGGACACAACUCCCCCGUGCGCCUGCGGGGCCACACCUUCUCAAGUCCCAUGAGCCCGAGCAGGAGGGGAUACUGUCUGCUUUGUCCUUUUUGUUGCAAUACAAUCUCACAGUCUCAGGGAAGAUGCAAGAAUUGUGCAAAAAAAGAACUCUCAUGUCCCCUUCCCCAGAUUCUCCCAUCAAUAACAUUUGCUUUCUCUCUCUCUCUAAACACAGAUAAAUAAAGAUGCAAGAUAGAAAGAGAGAGAGAGAGGUUUUUUCCCCUGCGCCGUCAUAGAUUAGGUCGCAGAAACCACACCUCUUCACUAAAUAUCUUUGCUUGAUAUCUCAGAGUAUUUCCUAAGAACAAGGACUUUGUCUUAUGUAAUCACAGCACAAUUUUCAAUAUCUGGAAAUGUAACGUGAACAUGGGACUACUACGGAACUCCCAGUUCACACUUACAUUUUGCCAAUUGUCCCCCCAGGCCGGGCUCAAAUCCAGGACCACGUUUUGCACUUACCUGCCAUGUCACUUUAGUCUCCUUUCACCUGCCUUUCUUUGUCUUUCAUGAUUCUAAGUUUUUUGGUAAGAGAACAGGCAGGUUAUUCAGAAUGUCCCAUAAUCUGCAUUUAUUUUACGGGUCCUCAGAAUUACAUUCGAGUUAUGCAUUUUUGUCAAGGAUACUACAGAAGGGAUGUAUAUUUGUUUCUUGUUGCUGCUGUAACAAAUGACUGCAAACUUACCGGCUUAGAAAAACACGAAUUUCUUAUUUUACAGUUUGGGAGGUCAGCCAUCUGACAUGGGUCUCACCGGUUAAAGUCAAAGUGUGACAGGGCUGCGUUCGUUCUGGAGGCUGUAGGGAGAAUCCAUUUCCUUGUCUUUCGGAGGUGCCCACAUACCUUGGCUGGUGGCCCCUUCCUCCAUCUUCAAAGUCAGCAUUGCAGCAUCUUAGAAUCUCUGACUCUUCUGCUAACCUCUUCUAUCUUUUAAGGAUCCUUCUUUUACAUUGGGCCCACCCAGAUAAUCCAGAAUAAUCUCCCUGUCUGAAGAUCCUUAAUUUAAUCUCAUCCGCAAAGACGUGAGAUAACAUCUUCACAGGUUCUGAGUAUCGGGGUGUGGACGUCUCUGGAGGGUCACUAUUCAUCACGUGAUGUUUGUCAUUCUUAGGGAUCACUUCAGGAGGCCUGUGAUGUCAGUCUGUCCCCGUUAUUGGUGACGGUAACUUUGAUAUUUGGUUCUGGCUGUAUUUGCAGGAUUAAUCCACUGUAAUCUAUUUUUACUUUUGUAAAAGUAUUUUUACUUUUGUAAUUUGUAAUUUUACAGUAAACGUGAGGAAGGAACUUUGAAACUGUGUAAAUAUCCUGUUCCUGGUCUCUACCAGAUCGAGCCUCCACUGAUGGCUCCUGCCUGAAUCGAUUAUUGCUGAGAAUCUUGCAAAAUGAUUCUGCAUUUCCACAUUACUUUCUACAGUUAUUACUUAGCAUUUUAUGUAAGGGAGAGCUUUGUCUCCUCCACUGCUUUAUUCAUUUCUUUCAUUGAUGGACUCAAGGAUUCCUUAUUCCAUGAACAUUCUGUUAUUAACGUUAUUUAUUUUGAUGUUCAAAUUGUCCCAGAUUUAGCCAGUGAAACCCCCUUCAAGCUGACUCCUGCAUGCUUUUAACAAGCCCCUGUCGUUUUUUGAAGACUUCCUUGUUUUCUGGCAUAAGAUGUUA